ACCUUCAUGGUGUAGUGGUCAGCACGUUCGAAGCGUAUUUCAAGAGGUCCGUGGUUCGAAUCCCGGUGAGGGCA
rnacentral:tRNA from 1 species